rnacentral:rRNA from 1 species
CCGCUGCGGAUUGCUAGCGCGCGGCGUCGCAAGACGCCUUUGCGCUUCCUAUCCGGACUGCCGGCGCGAGCCGGCGGAAGCUGGCGGCAAUAACAGGUCUGUGAUGCCCUUUGAUGUUCCGGGCCGCACGCGCGCUACACUGAUGCAGGCAGCGAGUCGCGUCUGGGCCGGCAGGUCUGGAGAAUCUUGCAGACUGCAUCGUGCUGGGGAUAGUCCGUUGUAAUUGUUGGACUUGCAACGAGGAAUUCCUAGUAAGCGCAAGUCAUCAGCUUGCGCUGAUUACGUCCCUGUCCUUUGUACACACCGCCCGUCGCUACUACCGAUUGGAUGGUUUGGUGAGGUGUGUGGCGUCCCCCGAGUCUCGCGUCAGCGAGACGAGGAGGGGCAAAACCCAACGAACCUGAUCAUCUAGAGGAAGUAAAAGUCG